CAGCGGAGCGGCAGGGCGGCGGUGGCGGCCAGGGUAGGACGCGCGGCGUGGAAGCGGAGUGACACCGAAAGCUGGCAAUCAAUAGGAGACGGCCAGCAGCCCUUGACUGUGUGGGGGCCUUCCCUGACACUGGCUCUGAGCAGCAGUUGCUCCGCCUGAAGGAGCCAAGUGACAACACGUUGUAGUCUCUCGACUACUAUAGUGCAGCAUCUCACUACAAGCCCGUCUGCUUUGGCUACAGAAUUUGCCCGAAGUGUUUAAUGCAUGCAAUUUC